AAAUUGAAGAGUUUGAUCAUGGCUCAGAUUGAACGCUGGCGGCAGGCCUAACACAUGCAAGUCGAGCGGUAGCACAGAGAGCUUGCUCUCGGGUGACGAGCGGCGGACGGGUGAGUAAUGUCUGGGAAACUGCCUGAUGGAGGGGGAUAACUACUGGAAACGGUAGCUAAUACCGCAUAACGUCGCAAGACCAAAGUGGGGGACCUUCGGGCCUCAUGCCAUCAGAUGUGCCCAGAUGGGAUUAGCUAGUAGGUGGGGUAACGGCUCACCUAGGCGACGAUCCCUAGCUGGUCUGAGAGGAUGACCAGCCACACUGGAACUGAGACACGGUCCAGACUCCUACGGGAGGCAGCAGUGGGGAAUAUUGCACAAUGGGCGCAAGCCUGAUGCAGCCAUGCCGCGUGUGUGAAGAAGGCCUUCGGGUUGUAAAGCACUUUCAGCGGGGAGGAAGGCGUUAAGGUUAAUAACCUUGGCGAUUGACGUUACCCGCAGAAGAAGCACCGGCUAACUCCGUGCCAGCAGCCGCGGUAAUACGGAGGGUGCAAGCGUUAAUCGGAAUUACUGGGCGUAAAGCGCACGCAGGCGGUCUGUCAAGUCGGAUGUGAAAUCCCCGGGCUCAACCUGGGAACUGCAUUCGAAACUGGCAGGCUAGAGUCUUGUAGAGGGGGGUAGAAUUCCAGGUGUAGCGGUGAAAUGCGUAGAGAUCUGGAGGAAUACCGGUGGCGAAGGCGGCCCCCUGGACAAAGACUGACGCUCAGGUGCGAAAGCGUGGGGAGCAAACAGGAUUAGAUACCCUGGUAGUCCACGCCGUAAACGAUGUCGAUUUGGAGGUUGUGCCCUUGAGGCGUGGCUUCCGGAGCUAACGCGUUAAAUCGACCGCCUGGGGAGUACGGCCGCAAGGUUAAAACUCAAAUGAAUUGACGGGGGCCCGCACAAGCGAUGGAGCAUGUGGUUUAAUUCGAUGCAACGCGAAGAACCUUACCUGGUCUUGACAUCCACAGAACUUUCCAGAGAUGGAUUGGUGCCUUCGGGAACUGUGAGACAGGUGCUGCAUGGCUGUCGUCAGCUCGUGUUGUGAAAUGUUGGGUUAAGUCCCGCAACGAGCGCAACCCUUAUCCUUUGUUGCCAGCGGUUCGGCCGGGAACUCAAAGGAGACUGCCAGUGAUAAACUGGAGGAAGGUGGGGAUGACGUCAAGUCAUCAUGGCCCUUACGACCAGGGCUACACACGUGCUACAAUGGCAUAUACAAAGAGAAGCGACCUCGCGAGAGCAAGCGGACCUCAUAAAGUAUGUCGUAGUCCGGAUUGGAGUCUGCAACUCGACUCCAUGAAGUCGGAAUCGCUAGUAAUCGUAGAUCAGAAUGCUACGGUGAAUACGUUCCCGGGCCUUGUACACACCGCCCGUCACACCAUGGGAGUGGGUUGCAAAAGAAGUAGGUAGCUUAACCUUCGGGAGGGCGCUUACCACUUUGUGAUUCAUGACUGGGGUGAAGUCGUAACAAGGUAACCGUAGGGGAACCUGCGGUUGGAUCACCUCCUUA
rnacentral:rRNA from 1 species